UACGAAGGGGGCUAGCGUUGCUCGGAAUCACUGGGCGUAAAGCGCACGUAGGCGGCUUCUUAAGUCAGGGGUGAAAUCCUGGAGCUCAACUCCAGAACUGCCCUUGAUACUGGACGUAGCUCGAGUCCGGGAGAGGUGAGUGGAACUCCGAGUGUAGAGGUGAAAUUCGUAGAUAUUCGGAAGAACACCAGUGGCGAAGGCGGCUCACUGGCCCGGUACUGACGCUGAGGCGCGAAAGCGUGGGGAGCAAACAGG
rnacentral:rRNA from 1 species